ACUCCUACGGGAGGCAGCAGUGGGAAUUUUGGACAAAUGGGGGCAACCCGUAGCAUCCAGCCAUUCCGCUGUGAGUGAAGAAGGCCUUCGGGUUGUAAAGCUCUUUCGGCAGGAACGAAACGGUGGGCUCUAACAUAGUCCGCUAAUGACGGUACCUGAAGAAGAAGCACCGGCUAACUACGUGCCAGCAGCCGCGGUAAUACGUAGGGUGCGAGCGUUAAUCGGAAUUACUGGGCGUAAAGCGUGCGCAGGCGGUUGUGUAAGACAGGUGUGAAAUCCCGG
rnacentral:rRNA from 1 species